rnacentral:rRNA from 1 species
GACGGGGCCGCACAAGCAGCGGAGCGUGUGGUUUAAUUCGAUGAUACACGAAGAACCUUACCCAGGCUUGACAUGUUGGUGGUAGGGAUCCGAAAGGUGACCGACCCUUCGGGGAGCCUUCACAGGUGCUGCAUGGCUGUCGUCAGCUCGUGUCGUGAGAUGUCCGGUUAAGUCCGGUAACGAGCGCAACCCUCGCUGUGUGUUAUAUGUGUCACACGGGACUGCCGGUAUCAAGCCGGAGGAAGGUGGGGAUGACGUCAAGUCAGCAUGGCCUUUAUGUCUGGGGCUACACACACGCUACAAUGGCCAGUACAAUAGGUUGCAAGACCGCGAGGUGGAGCCAAUCCUUAAAGCUGGUCUCAGUUCGGAUUGCAGGCUGCAACUCGCCUGCAUGAAGUCGGAGUUGCUAGUAACCGCGCGUCAGCCAUAGUGCGGUGAAUACGUUCCCGGGCCUU